GGUCCUAUAGCUCAGUUGGUUAGAGCACCUGACUCAUAAUCAGGGAGUCCUUGGUUCAAGCCCAAGUGGGACCACAA
rnacentral:tRNA from 6 species